rnacentral:rRNA from 1 species
CAAGUCGAGGGGCAGCACAAAGUAGUUACUAUUUUGGUGGCGACCGGCGCACGGGUGCGUAACGCGUAUGCAACCUACCUUAUACUGGGGAAUAGCCCGAAGAAUUUCGGAUUAAUGCCCCAUAGUACUGAAGUCUCUCCUGAGAUUUUAGUUAAAGCUUCGGCGGUAUAAGAUGGGCAUGCGUCCUAUUAGCUAGUUGGUAAGGUAACGGCUUACCAAGGCUACGAUAGGUAGGGGGCCUGAGAGGGUGAUCCCCCACACUGGUACUGAGACACGGACCAGACUCC